CCUACGGGGGGCUGCAGUGGGGAAUAUUGGACAAUGGGGGCAACCCUGAUCCAGCCAUGCCGCGUGUGUGAAGAAGGCCCUCGGGUUGUAAAGCACUUUCAGUGAGGAAGAACGCCUGGUGGUUAAGACCCAUCAGGAAAGACAUCACUCACAGAAGAAGCACCGGCUAACUCCGUGCCAGCAGCCGCGGUAAUACGGAGGGUGCGAGCGUUAAUCGGAAUUACUGGGCGUAAAGCGCGCGUAGGUGGCUUGAUAAGCCGGUUGUGAAAGCCCCGGGCUCAAACUGGGAACGGCAUCCGGAACUGUCAAGCUAGAGUGCAGGAGAGGAAGGUAGAAUUCCCGGUGUAGCGGUGAAAUGCGUAGAGAUCGGGAGGAAUACCAGUGGCGAAGGCGGCCUUCUGGACUGACACUGACACUGAGGUGCGAAAGCGUGGGUAGCAAACAGGAUUAGAUACCCUUGUAGUC
rnacentral:rRNA from 1 species